rnacentral:rRNA from 1 species
AUACGGAGGGUCCAAGCGUUAUCCGGAAUCAUUGGGUUUAAAGGGUCCGUAGGCGGAUAAUUAAGUCAGAGGUGAAAUCCCACAGCUCAACUGUGGAACUGCCUUUGAUACUGGUUAUCUUGAAUUAUCGUGAAGUAGAUAGAAUAUGUAGUGUAGCGGUGAAAUGCAUAGAUAUUACAUAGAAUACCGAUUGCGAAGGCAGUCUACUAACUAUAUAUUGACGCUGAUGGACGAAGGCGUGGGGAGCGAACAGAAUUAGAAACCCUAGUAGUCC